AUUAAAUAUCUGUGUAAUAUCUUAGUUCAAAUAAAAAAAAAAACAUAUAUAUUGAUCAAAGUGUAGCACUAACGAUUUAAAAAUAUCAAAUGUCGCAAUAGGGCGCGCCGCUGUUUUGUUUACUUUGAGACCUUUAAAGAUAUAUAAAAUAUUUCAUACUACUCUCUUAAUUAUUUUUUUGUAUGUGAAUUGUUAUCAUUUAUAUAGAAAUAAAUAAAAAACUUCAAUGACUCAUCCUGUUCUGCGUAUUGUUAAUGUUUUUCUUCGCAUUUUUAAGGUUAUGAACAUUGUUUGACCUUGGGAUGAUAUAUUUUGCGUAUUUAUUGAAAGAGAAAUGCAUUAAAUGUCAGUAGUAAAAAUCUACACACUAAUAACAAUAGUUUACUAGCUAUUGAUAUACUAAAAAAUAAAUUGACGAAUUGUUACUUCUAUUUUGUGUGCUUGAUUUUAAAUAAAAUGACGUAUUUUAAAAAUUCAGACCUAUAAUAUUGAUACAAAGGGUUGGUGAAAGGGGUAUAUCGAUUGUUCAUGGGUUUGUUAGUUGUCAAAUUACAGAAAGUAAAUCAUAGUGGUGUACCGAGUAGGUAACGCUUUAUAGGGAUUACUAAUGUUCCCGAUGGGCCAUGACCAAUUUAUAUGGAAUAUGUAUUAAGCGUUGUCUUUAUCGAUGUCGACAUUUCUUAAUCAGUUCCGAUAUUUAUUUCUGUUUGUAUUUUAGUAUGAUAUCAGUAGGCUUAGCAUGAGUUACCGUCUCAUUACAUACGAAGCGUUUCCCGUUUCUCAUUCCAUAACCUACGUUAAUCCUAUGUAAUGCAUAGGUUUGUGAACAAAAACUGUUAACGCUCUGUAUGGAGUGUAACGAUACAAACAUAGGGUCCUCCCUUAUUAACGAAACUCGCUCAGCCCCCGCUGAGCAAGCAUUGAUAGGUAAUAUAUAUAUAAUAUAGUAAUACCUUCUUCUGUAGGUAUCGAUAAUCAAUAUUCCUUAGCAAACAGCCCUUUAGGCAUAAUAAUGCGUUCAGAAAGAAAUUUUAAAAACGAACGACCACAAAAAUGAAUAAAAAUCAAAAUAUUUGUUUACUUUCAUUAAAUCAAUAUUAUUUACUAAUACAUAUAUAACAGUUUUUUUUUGUUUUACGAGUAUGUCCAAACUAUUAUAAUUAAUAUCUGCUUAUUUAAAUUACAGUUUAGACUUUAGAGUAUUGAAUUAAGGACGACAAUUUGGGUUGCCAGAUAGGGGUAUUGAACGCCAAUAAUUUGCAUAUUAUUUU